UACGUAGGGGGCAAGCGUUGUCCGGAUUUAUUGGGCGUAAAGAGCGUGUAGGCGGCCAGGUAGGUCCGUUGUGAAAACUCGAGGCUCAACCUCGAGACGUCGGCGGAAACCCUCUGGCUAGAGUCCGGAAGAGGAGAGUGGAAUUCCUGGUGUAGCGGUGAAAUGCGCAGAUAUUGGGAGGAACACCAGUGGCGAAGGCGGCUCACUGGACCGGAACUGACGCUGAGGCGCGAAAGCGUGGGGAGCAAACAGG
rnacentral:rRNA from 1 species